rnacentral:rRNA from 1 species
CCUACGGGAGGCAGCAGUGAGGAAUAUUGGACAAUGGGCGCAAGCCUGAUCCAGCCAUGCCGCGUGCAGGAUGACGGUCCUAUGGAUUGUAAACUGCUUUUGUACAGGAAGAAACCCUUUCACGUGUGGAAGAUUGACGGUACUGUAGGAAUAAGGAUCGGCUAACUCCGUGCCAGCAGCCGCGGUAAU